UGAAUACGAGACGCUACGGCGUCGAAGCAGUCUAUGUCAUACUUCCAAGAAAAGCUUGCACUGUCAUAAACAAAUAAUGCCUGUACCAUAACCGACACAGGUGGGUAGGUAGAGUAUACUAAGGGGCGCGAGAUAACUCUCUCUAAGGAACUCGGCAAAAUGACUCCGUAACUUCGGGAGAAGGAGUGCCUUAUUUAUAAGGUUGCAAUAACAAGAUCCAAGCAACUGUUUAUCAAAAACACAGGUCUCCGCUAAGUCGUAAGACGAUGUAUGGGGGCUGACGCCUGCCCAGUGCCAGAAGGUUAAAGAAGUUGGUUAGCAUUAGCGAAGCUGAUAACUGAAGCCCUGGUGAACGGCGGCCGUAACGAUAACGGUCCUAAGGUAGCGAAAUUCCUUGUCGGGUAAGUUCCGACCCGCACGAAAGGCGUAAUGAUUUGGAUACUGUCUCAGAGAGGGGCUCGGUGAAAUAGACUUGUCUGUGAAGAUGCGGACUACCUGCACCAGGACAGAAAGACCCUAUGAAGCUUUACUGUAACUUGAAAUUGAAAUUGGACUUUAUUUGCGCAGUAUAGGUGGGAGGCAUUGAUAAUAUUCUUGCGGGAAUGUUGGAGCCAUCAGUGAGAUACCACUCUUGUAAUGUUAGAUUUCUAACUUUGGAUCAUUAUCUGGUCAAAGGACAGUUUCAGGCGGGCAGUUUGACUGGGGCGGUCGCCUCCUAAAUGGUAACGGAGGCGCACAAAGGUUUCCUCUGAACGGGUAGAAAUCGUAUCUAGAGUGUAAAGGCAUAAGGAAGCUUGACUGUGAGACCUACAAGUCGAGCAGGACGAAAGUCGGUCUUAGUGAUCUGACGGUGCUGAGUGGAAAGGCCGUCACUCAACGGAUAAAAGUUACUCUAGGAUAACAGGCUGAUCUCCCCCAAGAGUUCACAUCGACGGGGAGGUUUGGCACCUCGAUGUCGGCUCAUCGCAUCCUGGGGCGGUAGUACGUCCCAAGGGUUGGGCUGUUCGCCCAUGAAAGCGGUACGCGAGCUGGGUUCAGAACGUCGUGAGACAGUUCGGUCCAUAUCCGGUGUAGGCGUUAGAAUAUUGAGAGGAGCCUUCUUUAGUACGAGAGGACCGAGAAGGACAUACCUCUGGUGUACCAGUUAUCGUGCCAACGGUAAACGCUGGGUAGCUAUGUAUGGAGAGGAUAACCGCUGAAAGCAUCUAAGUGGGAAGCCCACCUCAAGAUAAGUAUUCUC
rnacentral:rRNA from 1 species